rnacentral:tRNA from 2 species
UCCCAUAUUGUCCAGCGGUUAGGAUUUCUGGUUUUCACCCAGACGGCCCGGGUUCGACUCCCGGUAUGGGAA